AAUAUUAAAGGAGUUAUUUAGUCUUGUUGCUGCCAAACAUACUUUACUGCCUACAGCCUGACAAUCUCUGCAUUUGUUCUGGGAGUCGACAUGACUCAUAGGGGGAUGUGGUAAAGGUUGCAAAUGACCCCGUGGUGAAACACUGGAGAGCAUUGUGCCAAGCUGGGAAAUGAGGCAAUGCAGCUGAUCUGAGGGAGAUUCCUUCUGCCGCUGUUCUCCAGACCUCUGUCUCCAGGGUGUUGGAGAGCAGAGAUGCCGGUGUCCCUUGGGUGGCACUACAGCUGGAUUAUUUCUGGUUCUUGUGAGGAUCUAUUGAGGUUGGCAGGAGAAGGCAUAUUUAGCUUUCCAAUGUACCCUACUGCGCCAGCCAUGAUUCACCUCUAGGUAAUUCCUUAGAUUGCACAUGGAGAAGCACAGGCCCGAUCCAAUACCUACUGGUGACAAUGGGAGAACUCCCACCGAGUCCCACGGCUGCUUGAUGAAGUCCUAAAGAGAGGGAAAUAUAACAACAUUUGGACCUUACACAAAAAUCAUAGCGAUAAUCCAAGACACUGCAGUCACAGUGCCAAAAUCUGCAGUGUUAUGGAUCAUUAUUGUAAAAUACGGCAGGCCUUUUUUAUUAAAAAAAAGGGGCCAUUGGUUCAAGAGAUGGAUGGUUCAUUAUUGCACUCCGAGAUUUGGAGAAGCUAUUUGGAAUGCUCUGAACUCUCCACGCACAGCACGUACCCCACCGAACCCUGCUACACAGCUCCCGUUUUUAUUUUUGUUGUUAUUUUUAUUUUUGCUUGACACUCACUGCAUUUACUUCUUUCCUGACAAAUUAUUUAAACAGAUGGCUGCGUCUGAUAUUAAUACACUUAUUUCAACAUUUGCAUAGAGCAUCUGUUAUGAAAAAGGGGUAGGGCUUUUUUUUUUUAAUGCAUCUUCAACUCAGAUUCCAAGAACUCAGAAAGAAGGCAGCCUUUUCCAAGAAUUCAAGAAUGGAUAAAGGCUUCAUUUAUACAGUGCUCAGAUGUCACCCUGCUGAAAUGUCAUUCACUGGCAGAAUUAGAUGAUGAAGGGAAAAGUGAAUCUGUAAAUUAUAGAAAUGGUCAAAGGACUGAAAUUUUGGCAUAAAAAUAAGCUUUUUUAAAGGGGAAAAAUGCAUUUUCUACUGGGUUCACUGACUGACUUGGUGUGCAAGUGACUUUUAGCUUAUAAAAUAAAAUAGUACAAGUAACUUUUAGCUUAUAAAAUAAAAUUCAGAUCAAUAUA